AAGGCCUGUACACCUAAAAAAGUGCCUGGCUUCAAAAUCGAUCAAUUAAUUAACUCUAGGACUCAUAUCAACACGAGCGAGGCAGGGCUACGUUAUGUCUUCAGAUACGGCAUCGAGGAACUCUUCGAGUUUAUGGUGUUCACACUAGUGUUGGAAAAACCAGACAGACCGCUUGACCACCUAAUAGAACUGACCAGGAGCAUUAAGAGGGAGAUGAUGAUCCGUUACAACGUUGGGAAACUGAUGGCAGUUGGUUCAGAGCCCAGUUUAGACUCCAUCUCCACUACAAGCUCCCAAGGCAUGCACUCAACCUCAACGGCAACGUCAUCAGACUAAUGACCUCGACCUACAAAGAUAAUUGACACACCUAUUCUCAGCCUGCGUGCUAGUCUUUCCCUUUAAGUCUAGCCUGUACAAUUAAGCCUGGUGUUUCCAUCUGCAAUUUUACAAUUAGACUGUCAAAACAACACAGGAAAGAAACAAAUAUUAGUAGGCCAUCAGAGGCUGUACAUUUUUUGUUCUACUAAUAUAAGUCUUAGUUUAGAAUUACUAUUAGGGGAAAAAAUGAUGAUAAUAAUAAUAUAUGUGUGAAUAUAAAAAAGAUAAUAUACAGUAUGUGUGUAAUACACAAUGACAUUACAUGAAAUAAAGACAGAGACACAAAGAGUGA
rnacentral:sRNA from 1 species